CUUAACUUUUCUUCUUCCAUGUACAUCAAUUCUAUUAGUAAUCUUAUCAUCCCCUUCCGCCUCUCUUCCCUAUACACUUCUCGAAACGUUUCAAGAGAAAGCAAAGAAAUCAUCUGUUUCUUUUUCCCAUAUCAUCGAUUCUCUUUCACAUACAUUUUAAUCGUUUCAUCGUCCAUUAAACAAACGUUCAACCAUUUCAUCGUCCUAAAGGUCAAAUCUUCAUUUGUUUCUUCUUCUCCGAGUUCAAAAUUUUCAUCUUUGGUUUAUUGUGGUUAUGGCUAAAACUAGAGGUGGUAUGGUUAAAAAAUUUGUCCCUAAGCCCGGUAAAAACAAGAAAAGGAAGGUUAAACCUCAAGCUUCAACAAGGUGUUCAAAAAAAGAAAAAGUUGUUGUUGAAGAACCCAAAUAUGAUUCGUUUUCUGAUACGAUGGAUGAAAUAGACAACUAUGAGGAGAUUUUUCAUGAGAUUGAGUCUAGUGAAGAGAGCAGUGGAGACGAGUCCACUAGUGAAGAUAGCCGAGAUACUGGAGAUGAGGAUGAUGAUCCUCUGUCCUGGCCAACUUGUGCAAGAGAAAUCUCAGAUAAGUCCUAUAAUCUCACUACGUGUAUGGAUGAGUUAGGAUCUUUUCCAUUCAAGAUUUCUGUGAGAGCAAGAAUGACUUUGUAUAAUGAUUUUAGAAAUGUUUUACUUAAUGAAAAAAAUUAUAAUGACUUUAAAGGUAGUUGUUUUGAUCAUUCAAGGCAUUUUUCAGAAUUUUACAAGUUUAAUGGACAGAUGGUUCAUUACAUGUUGUUGCUCGUGUCAAUCAUGAUAAAAGUUGCAUGAAAUGUAAUUUUGUGUGAAUGAUAAGGCUGCAUGUUUUGGCUUAAAAGAGUUUGCGUUGAUUAUGGUCUGAAUUGUGGGGCAUACUCCGCGAUAUAAAAAUAUAAAAAUUGUUUGACAAAGGUGAGAAAUUUUACUAUGAAGUAAUCAAGAAUAAGAAUAUUAGUGGUUCGAAGUUGUUGAGUUUGAUUAAGGAUUUCAAAUUGAAUUAGUUUGGUUCGUCUACUCAAUAUUACUUGCCCACGAUCGAUCUAAGAUUGUAAAAUCAAACCAUAUUAAGAUGACCGAUGAUUUAGAGUUUUUCAAGAGCUAUUUGUAGGGAAAAGAAUGCUUUGAUUUAACACUUAAGUAUUUGAAGACCAAAGUUAAUUUGAAGAAACAAUGUGAUGUGUACAAGAAAAGAGCAUCUUAUGCUUUGUAUGACUUCCACUAGGCAUUUCUGGUAAUUUUUAUCAUUAAUGAAAUUGAUUACAUUUAUUUGUUAUUUUAUUAAUUUCACGUUUGGAUAUGAGGUUUUUCCUCAUCUUGGUAUAUACACAAAGAAGUCAUUGGAUUCUCCAUUGCAAAUUUCCCGUUUACUUAAAUGACACACGACAAAGAGCGACAACAUUAUCGAAGGUGAUCCAUUUAAGUAUACAAAGGUUGUACAUCCGUACCUAAUACCUACUAAGUGUGAAGAAACAAAAUUAUAUGAAAACAUUAAAGUCAUAUACGGAUGAAGUGAAGGACACAAUUAUUGAUGCCUUAAAGGCCAGUUUGAAAGGUGUCACUGUCCUCACUUCUGCAUUAGGUCAUGUGGAGGAUGAGUAUUCAAACGAACACAUUCCUAAUCAACCUCGAACAAUUCUAUACCAAGUACUUCUAAAGAUGAAAACAUGGGUGAGCAUGUUGCAUCCCUCGAGCAAUCAAUGGUGGAAAUCAUUGUUUUUGUACGAGAGGAGAAGUUGAGAAGAAAUAAAAAGAAAAAAAAAUAAAGGUCGAUAAAUUCAUAUAUUUUUUAGUUGUAUAGUAUAAUGUAUUUGUAUUAAUGCUUAGCCACUGAUCUUGUAGUAGAUGAUGACAAUUUUUCAUCACCAACGGUGGAUGACAACAUCCUUCCAUUAGUUGUGGAUGACAAAUUUCAUCUUGAUGCAGUUGAUGCAUACUUUGAAGAACAAGUUGAUAAAGAGGAGACUACAGAAGAAGAAAAACAACAAAAGGAAACAAAAUAAAAAGAGAAACAACAAGAAGACACGAUGGAAGAGAACAAUGAAGAAAAAAAAGAGGAGAAACUAGAAGAAAAUAAAGCAAAUGGAGAAGAAGAGAAUGAACAACAACAAGAGAAGAUAACAGAGAAUGAAGAAGAGGAAAAGCUUGAAGAAGAAGGGUUGGCCACUGAAGUGAAAAUAUAUGUGAUGGGUAUUGUGAUGGAGCUUAUUGCUCACAUUGGUGGUGAUUAAGUGCAGUUGUGAUUUUUUGGGAUGGUUAUAUCCUGGUAUUUUAAGACAAUUUGUGAAUUUAUUCUUUUAUUAAGACAAUUGAUUUUUAUGAUAGUUGGGGUGAGUUUUGUGAUAGUUAGGUUUUUUCCUGGUUUGAAGACAUGUUUUUUGACAA